GGUGAACGCUGGCGGCGUGCCUAACACAUGCAAGUCGAGCGGUGCAGUUUGAAGCUUCGGUGGAAAGCUGCAUAGCGGCGGACGGGUGAGGAAAACGUAGGAACGUGCCCCUUGGGAGUUGGAUAGCCACGGGAAACUGUGGGUAAACCGACAUAGACUCGAGAGAGUAAAGGCCGAAAGGCGCCAAGGGAGCGGCCUGCGGCCCAUCAGGUAGUUGGUAGUGUAAAGGACUACCAAGCCGACGACGGGUAGCCGGUCUGAGAGGAUGGCCGGCCACAUCGGGACUGAGACACUGCCCGGACACCUACGGGUGGCUGCAGCAACGAAUAUUCCGCAAUGGGCGCAAGCCUGACGGAGCGACGCCGCGUGGAGGAUGAAGUCCUUCGGGAUGUAAACUCCAAUAGUUUGCCAGGAAGCAACCUGGCCUAAUACGUCGGGAAGUUGACCAGCAGACGAAAGGGGCGGCUAACUCCGUG
rnacentral:rRNA from 1 species